CCCUUCAGAGGGGGACAACAGUUGGAAACGACUGCUAAUACCGCAUACGAUCUAAUCUCGGCAUCGAGGAUAGAUGAAAGGUGGCCUCUACAUGUAAGCUAUCACUGAAGGAGGGGAUUGCGUCUGAUUAGCUAGUUGGAGGGGUAACGGCCCACCAAGGCGAUGAUCGGUAGCCGGACUGAGAGGUUGAACGGCCACAUUGGGACUGAGACACGGCCCAG
rnacentral:rRNA from 1 species